UAGCAGAGUGAUCAGAAACUAAUUGGCACCGUAACCUGCAUUUGGACUUUGGCAUCAGACAGACCUGGGUUCUAGGCCAGUGUGGAGAUGCUGCUGGUUCUAUAACCUCAAAGGACGUUGUGUGUAUGUAAUAUCUGGAGUCUUCGGGGAAUCACUUUUUUCACUUAAUACUGACUUGCCAAGCUAGUGAACCAUCAAAGAUUUCCUCAAUUAUCUAGCUACAAACAAGGGGGAAGGUCUGUCUCUUUAAAUCUUCCAGUGGAUGCUGCUGGAGGAAGCCACUGCUGCCAAGUGGAUC